GACGAACGCUGGCGGCGUGCUUAACACAUGCAAGUCGAACGGAAAGGCCCUGCUUUUGUGGGGUGCUCGAGUGGCGAACGGGUGAGUAACACGUGAGUAACCUGCCCUUGACUUUGGGAUAACUUCAGGAAACUGGGGCUAAUACCGGAUAGGAGCUCCUGCUGCAUGGUGGGGGUUGGAAAGUUUCGGCGGUUGGGGAUGGACUCGCGGCUUAUCAGCUUGUUGGUGGGGGAGUGGCUUACCAAGGCUUUGACGGGUAGCCGGCCUGAGAGGGUGACCGGCCACAUUGGGACUGCGGUACGGCCCAGACUCCUACGGGAGGCAGCAGUGGGGAAUAUUGCACAAUGGGCGGAAGCCUGAUGCAGCAACGCCGCGUGCGGGAUGACGGCCUUCGGGUUGUAAACCGCUUUCGCCUGUGGCGAAGCGUGAGUGACGGUAAUGGGUAAAGAAGCACCGGCUAACUACGUG
rnacentral:rRNA from 1 species